rnacentral:rRNA from 3 species
UUGUACACACCGCCCGUCGCUACUACCGAUUGAAUGGCUCGGUGAGGCCUUCGGACUGGCCCAGGGAGGUCGGCAACGACCACCCAGGGCCGGAAAGUUGGUCAAACCCGGUCAUUUAGAGGAAGUAAAAGUCGUAACAAGGUCUCCGUAGGUGAACCUGCGGAGGGAUCAUUA